rnacentral:lncRNA from 1 species
UACAGGAAGGAUCAUAUUCAAGCGUACCCAUUCGCAGAGGAGAAGGAUCUGCACGUGAAUGUUGGUCGGCUGAUCAAGUUCCUGAAUGAGUGGAGGUCGAACAAGAGGACGCUGUUUGAGAAGAUUCUUGAUUUGAGCUAUGCCAUGGCUGAGGAAGGGUUCUGGACAGAGCAGGAUGUUAGAUUAACAGCUGCUUGGCUUCAGGACCUGCUUGCUGUGGGCUAUCGGCAGCCUCGGCUCAUGUCAUUGGAGAUUGACAGGCAGCGGGCAACCA